rnacentral:lncRNA from 1 species
AACUAUUGGCCAACAAUUUGUGCGACAGUGGAACCUUUUUAUGGUAUUCUUUUGUUAUGCAUAGGAAAUUUUGAGCUUGAACAAGCCACCGCACGUUUACGUAAACAACUAAUAAAAUAUAUUAUUUGUAUUUUUUCUUGUCAACAAAAUAUAUUAUUUGUUUACUUCCAUUAAUGUGUCAAUAAAUCCACUUACUCAACAAAUUUACAUUUCGUAAUAUGCACAAUACAAACCACAUGUUCUUAAAUAAUAUAGGUCAACUUUAAAGGCCUAACCAAUAUCAAAUAAAC